AAAGUCCACCACGUAGUAAGGCGUAGCGAGCCGCUACGGACCCGAGUCAUGCGUCGGCUACCCGUAAGGGGGCGGCGAAGCGUUGGCGCGGGGCUGCGUAGGCGAGGUAUUGAGCUCCGAAAUCAUGGCUUUGGUGCGUCGACCUUGUACUCAUAUGGGGAAGACAAUACGGUACGUAGCGUUAGG
rnacentral:ncRNA from 1 species